rnacentral:rRNA from 1 species
GACGAACGCUGGCGGCGUGCUUAACACAUGCAAGUCGAACGGAAAGGCCCUGCUUUUGUGGGGUGCUCGAGUGGCGAACGGGUGAGUAACACGUGAGUAACCUGCCCUUGACUUUGGGACAACUUGAGGAGACUGGGGCUAAUACCGGAUAGGAGCUCCUGAUGCAGGGUGGGGGUCGGAAAGUUUCGGCGGUUGGGGAUGGAUGCGCGGCUUACCAGCUUGUUGGUGGAGUAGCGGCUAACCAAGGCUUCGACGGAUAGCCGGCCUGGGAGGGGAGACAGCCACAUGAGGACUGAGAGACGGACCAGACGCGAAUGGGAGGCAACGGUGGAGAAUAUUACACAGUGAGGGGGAGCGUGAUGCGAAAGCGCCGGGUGCGGAAAGACGGCUUUCGGGUUGUGAACCGCAGUAACCUGAGACCAAGCGGGAGUGACGGUAAUGGGUAAAGAAGCACCGGCUAACUACGUG